rnacentral:SRP_RNA from 1 species
UUAUUGGCUAGACUGGAGGGUUAGGGGUCCUCUGUAAGCACACACCCCCUUAGGUGCAGUUGAAGUUCAGAAGGCGGCUUUUGGAUUUAAUAACAGCCUUGAAAAUUGAUAUAGAAACCUCGUCCUACAGGAUCAUUGGUCAUAAGGUCUUAACUGGAGGGUUAAGAUUAAUUAUGUUUUUUGUGGGAACGUGUCAGGCCUGGAAAGGAGCAGCUCUACCAUAAACACUUGAUGCUUGUAGAUUAGCGGGGCGGAGUUGAUUUUUGAGAGUACUGUUAUUAUUGAUACUAGUCCACUUCUGAACAUGCCGCUUA